GGAUGUGAGGACGAUCUGGUUGAGACAUCUGUUACCCUGUUGAUCGCCAGGGUUGACUUGGCUGAUCUGGCUGGCUAGGCAGGUGUCUAGGUGGGUCCCCUUCCUCCCUUGCUGCUUCAUGUGCGUCCCCCCCGAAGCUGUGUGCUCCAUGGAAGAUGACCACCUCCAAUAGAGGAGGACCAUUUCCUCAGUCAUGGAGGGUAGCUUUGUUCCUCUGCUACAACCUCCAAAGAAGCUCUUGAGAUGUCAGAUACCUUAGCCAAACAUGGUGGUGCAUGCCUGUAAUCCUGGCAUUCUGU
rnacentral:snRNA from 1 species